rnacentral:rRNA from 1 species
UUGUUGGUAAGGUAAAAGCUUACCAAGGCUUCGAUCAGUAGCUGGUCUGAGUGGACGACCAGCCACACUGGGACUGAGACACGGCCCAGACUCCUACGGGAGGCAGCAGUGGGGAAUUUUGGACAAUGGGGGCAACCCUGAUCCAGCCAUGCCGCGUGAGUGAAGAAGGCCUUCGGGUUGUAAAGCUCUUUCAGCCGGAACGAAACGGUUACGGUUAAUACCCGUGACUACUGACGGUACCGGAAGAAGAAGCACCGGCUAACUACGUGCCAGCAGCCGCGGUAAUACGUAGGGUGCGAGCGUUAAUCGGAAUUACUGGGCGUAAAGCGUGCGCAGGUGGUUUUGUAAGUCAGAUGUGAAAGCCCCGGGCUCAACCUGGGAACUGCGUUUGAAACUACAAGACUAGAGUGUGGCAGAGGGGGGUGGAAUUCCGCGUGUAGCAGUGAAAUGCGUAGAGAUGUGGAGGAACACCGAUGGCGAAGGCAGCCCCCUGGGUCAACACUGACGCUCAGGCACGAAAGCAUGGGGAGCAAACAGGAUUAGAUACCCUGGUAGUCCAUGCCCUAAACGAUGUCAACUAGUUGUCGGGCCUUUACGGGCUUGGUAACGUAGCUAACGCGUGAAGUUGACCGCCUGGGGAGUACGAUCGCAAGAUUAAAACUCAAAUGAAUUGACGGGGACCCGCACAAGCGGUGGAUUAUGUGGAUUAAUUCGAUGCAACGCGAAAAACCUUACCUACCCUUGACAUGUAUCGAAGCCCGCAGAAAAGCGGGGGUGCCCGAAAGGGAACGAUAACACAGGUGCUGCAUGGCUGUCGUCAGCUCGUGUCGUGAGAUGUUGGGUUAAGUCCCGCAACGAGCGCAACCCUUGUCAUUAAUUGCCAUCAUUUAGUUGGGCACUUUAAUGAGACUGCCGG